rnacentral:rRNA from 1 species
UGCCAGCAGCCGCGGUAAUACGGAGGGGGUUAGCGCUGUUCGGAAUUACUGGGCGUAAAGCGCACGUAGGCGGAUUAGUAAGUUAGGGGUGAAAUCCCGGGGCUCAACCCCGGAACUGCCUCUAAUACUGCGAGGCUUGAGGCCUGGAGGGGAGAACGGAAUUCCUGGUGGAGCGGUGAAAUGCGUAGAUAUCAGGAGGAACGCCGGCGGCGAAAGCGGUUCUCUGGACAGGUUCUGACGCUGAGACGCGAAAGCUAGGGGAGCAAACGGGAUUAGAUA